GACGAAGGGGCUAGCGUUGUUCGGAAUUACUGGGCGUAAAGGGCGCGUAGGCGGUUCUUUAAGUCAGGCGUGAAAAGCCCUGGGCUCAACCUGGGAGUGGCGCUUGAUACUGAGGAACUAGAGAGUGGGAGAGGUUGGUGGAAUUCCCAGUGUAGAGGUGAAAUUCGUAGAUAUUGGGAAGAACACCGGUGGCGAAGGCGGCCAACUGGACCAUUUCUGACGCUGAGCGACGAAAGCGUGGGAGCAAACAGAUUAGAUACCGAG
rnacentral:rRNA from 1 species